UUUCAUAUACAUGCAAAUUUGCACGACACAAAAAAUAUCUCUCUCUUCUUAAGCUUCCUUUUCCCUCUAAAAAUACUGACUUGAACACGUGUCAACGGGUGGACAACGGCGGAGAAUGGCGGACUCGCCCUCGGAAGAAGAGGCCGCCGAUUUUAGGGAGGCGCCGGAUGAGCUGCGCUGUAGAAGGUCUGACGGUAAGACGUGGCGGUGCCAUAGCUGGAGGAUCCAUGGAAAACCCUACUGCGAAAAGCAUUACCUCCAAAUCGUCGGAAAAAAUUUGAAAAGGAAAUCUUCUGCUCCGUCGAGAAAUUCUAGGUCUGAGAAAAGGCGUUCGGAGAAAUCUAAGGCUAGUGGUAGUGGUAAGGCUGGUGGUUUUGUUGCAAAUAAGUCGAAGAAGUUAGGGCUUUCUAGCGGUGGUAGCAAAGAUAAGAGGAGCAAAGGUGGGGGCGGCGAGUCUAAUUCGACAGAAGAGGUGUUGCCAAAGAAAAAGCCGAGGAGUAAGAGGAUGAGAGUGGAGGCGGAGGAGGAGGAAGAUAGCGAAGAGACAGAGGAGGAUGAGAGGAUGAAUGUUGUGAAAAUUACUGGUAGAAGGAGUGAUGAGAAGGGGGGAAAAUGCGAGAGCCACAGGGGAAAUGCUGUUAAGAGAUCUAAGGUGGGUGAUAAAAUUGAUUCUCUGAUGAAAAAGAAGCAAGUUGGCUGGUUGGAGGAGAGUGAUGAGGAAAGAGGUGAUAAGGUGGGUGAUAAAAUUGAUUCUCUGAUUAAAAAGAAGCAAGUUGGUUGGUUGGAGGAGAGUGAUGAGGAAAGAGGUGAUGUUGCAAAAGGUGCUAAAGGGAGUGCUAGGGAUAAUGUGGUUCAAAGUUCUAAAAGGGGUGGUAAAAGUGAGUUAAGGAGGAAGCAUGCCAAGGAGAUUGAAAGAAAUGAAGAGAGUAGCGAUGAUGAAGAGUACUGGUUCAAAGAAAUAAGUAGUGCUACAGAAAGUGGUGGAGUUAAGUUGGAAAAUGAGAAGAAAGCUGUGAGAAGUUAUCGGAGUGAUGAUGAAGAGGUAGGAAGGCGUAAUGUGAUUAAAAUUGGUAGAAGGAGUGGAGAAUUUCAGGAUGGUGUAAAGGACAGUGAUUCGAGUGAUAUGAGUGAUGAGGAGGAGGGGCAGAAAUAUAAGGUGGAAAAAAUUGAUAAGGGGCAUAGGGAGCUCGAGUUGGGUAAGAAGAAGGAAGUUCAGAGCAGCGAAGAAGAUACUGAGGAGGAAGAGGAGGAGAGGAGUAGAGAGCUAAUUACUGCUGAAAGUAGUGGCGGGGAUAAAUGGGGGAAAAAAAAGAGGAAAGUAGAGAGGAAUGACCAGAUUGUUGAUGAAGAAGGGAAGGGUAGCAGGCGUAAAGGUGGUCAAAGGUGUGGUCAACUUGAGCUGCGAACAAAGAUGAAAAAUGAUCGGAGGGCAAUGAGUCAUGAGGACAAGGAGGAAGAUGGUGAGAAUUCGAAGAAGAAAAAUGGAGAUAGUGUGGUGAAAAUGUUGAAAAAGGGUUCCAGGACCAAGACACUGAAAGUGGCGAUGAAAGAUAUGAAAUCUGAAGAGGAUAAUUUUGAUGAUGGUGGUUUUGAAGAUAUCAUGAAAGAUGGUAAGGAUGAACGUGGUAAGAAGAAAUCUCAGCUGCGGGUGAACGCUAAGGAGGUUGGGAGAGUAAAAGCAGAGGGAGAUGGUGAUGAUGGUAUUGAUGUUGAUGGCUCUAAGGAGAAUUGGUUACAGGGUAAGAGUAACAAGGUUGAGAAAGGGGAAGUAGCUGGAUGUGACAAUGAAGGUGAUAAUGUUGAUGGUUCUGAGGAGAUGGAUGAUGCUUGUUUAAUAAAAUUUGCAAAAAAGGAUUUCAUGCCUGCAACUUUAUUGAAGAGAGGACAGAAGAAGUCACGGGAGAAGAAAGGGGGGUUGAGUAACAUGUUUAAAGAUGAGAAAGAGGAAAGAUCCAGCGAUAAGGAUAAAAUUGGCGAUGAAAAUGUUAAAUCUGUGUUUAAGGCAAUAAAGAAAGUCAAGAAAACUUUGAAAACGGAUUCAACUGAAGAGAGGAGGAGGAGGAAGGGUCCAAAAAUGGAAAAGGUGGGAGGAAUUGAGGAAGAAGACGAUGAUCGUACAGAAUCAGAUGAUGGAGCACACUUAAUUAGAGAAAGGAGUUCUCGGGAGAAGAAGAACUGCCAUAAGCCCAAGGUUGAUCUUAGAAGAAAGCACUUCAGUACUGAUGAUCCUGAAGAUGAUUGCCAAAUGUGCCACCAAUGCAUGUACAGCAAUAAGAGGGUUGUGAGGUGUCGCAAGGAACGGCAAUUGAAUGGCUAUAAUAGGCGCUAUUGUUGUCUCUGUAUCAAAAGAUGGUACCCUCAGCUUUCAGAGGAAGCAAUAGCAGAAGCAUGCCCAUAUUGCCGAGGAAACUGCAACUGCAAAGCUUGUCUACGAAGAGAUGAGAUACAGAAUCAAACUGUAUAUUCUGGGACUCCACAAAAUGAAGCUGAAGUGAUACAUCACUUUAAGUAUCUUGUUCGCAUGGUUGCCCCUAUUCUCAAACAAUUUGAUCAUGACCAAAUGGUGGAAAAGGAGACAGAAGCUAAAAUUCGAGGAAUAUUAUCGUCAGAGAUAGGAGUAGAGAGGAUUAGAUGUUUCGCGGAUGAGCGUCUUUAUUGUGAUUGUUGCGGUACCUCUAUAGUUGAUUUCCACAGAAGCUGUCCAAAGUGUUCUUAUGAUCUCUGUCUGACUUGCUGUCGAGAAAUACGUGAAGGCUGCUUACAAGGAGGUAGUAAGGAAGUUGUUAUCGAGUACGCUGACCCGGGGAAAGGAUACUUGCAUGGAGAACUGCAGGUGCCUCCAAAACAAGAAAGCUUUUCAGGUUCAUGUAGUGAAUCAGUUCCUGGGAUGGAAAGUACCCUUCCUGACUGGAAAGCAAAAGAAACUGGUGAAAUUCCUUGCCCUCCUAAAGAAAGGGGUGGUUGUGGGUAUGAGCAACUGCAGCUCAGGUGCAUAUAUGCUGAACAAGAUGUGUUGGAUUUCAGAAAGAAAGUCGAGAAUUUAAUUGAGAGCCAUAGACUUGGCAACUGUAGUGAAACUUCCAAGCAGUGUACCUGUUUCGAAUACAGUGAUGAUUCUGAUAUUGGAGAUAAACAACUGAAGAAAGCUGCUUCAAGAAAGAAUUCUGGUGACAAUUACUUGUAUUGUCCCUCUGCAACUGACCUCCAGCAAGGGGACUUGGAGCACUUCCAGAAACAUUGGAUUAGGGGAGAACCAGUCAUCGUUGGCAAUGUUCUUGAACUAACAUCUGGGUUAAGCUGGGAGCCAAUGGUCAUGUGGCGUGCAGUACGUGAGAUCCUAGUUAAAAAGGGAUCGUCGGAUUUGUUGGUGACAGCAAUUGAUUGCCUUGAUUGGUGCGAGGUUGAUAUAAAUAUACACCAGUUUUUUAAGGGAUACACUGAUGGUCGGGCAGAUGGAAAACACUGGCCUGAAAUGUUAAAACUCAAGGAUUGGCCGUCAUCAAGUUACUUUGGGGAGAGACUGCCUCGCCAUUGUGUAGAAUUUAUUAGUGCCUUGCCUUUUAAAGAAUAUACACAUCCAAAUUCAGGAAUUCUUAAUUUGGCGGCAAAAGUGCCAACUACAGUGCUGAAGCCAGACAUGGGGCCUAAGACUUAUAUAGCAUAUGGGUUUGCAGAAGAUCUUGGACGGGGAGAUUCAGUGACAAAGCUUCACUGUGACAUGUCAGAUGCGGUGAAUAUCUUGAUGCAUACUGCUGAAGUGGCUGUUGAACCAGAGCAGCUUGCUAAAAUAAAAGAGCUCAAGCAAAAGCAUGAUGCCCAAGACCAAAAAGAACUCUUUGGGACAUCUGAUCCAAGUGAUAAAGAGGCUGUGGAGAAGGUGCCUGCGACGAUGGAACCAUCUGGAAGUGCAUUAACUGCUGAAGUUAGUCAUGCUUCUCCUAAAAUUUCUGAUUCUUUGAACCUUCAAAGUGGGAGUAUUGAUCAUUUGCCAACUAAUGCUGGAAAAGGGAGUGGAGGUGGUGCCUCCAUUGCAGCUGAAACAUUGCAAGAUGGUAUUUUGACCAAACCAGUCACAGAGUUUGGAUUGCCCUCUGAGAAUUCUCACAUUGGUGGGUUGCUGGGAACUCAAAAGAGUGUGCCAGGUAGAAGAAAUGAUGAAGCUAGUCAGUCUAGUGAUGAGCAGAAUAGCAAAUUGAGAAGUUCAUUGACUGAAAAUGCCUCUGAAUUACAUAUUAGAAGUACAGACUUGAACAAGGAAAAUAGUAGUGUAGGUACCAAAAACAAGCUGAAUGGUUUUUUUGAAGUCGAGGGUGGGGCAAUCUGGGAUAUAUUCAGGCGGCAGGAUGUUCCCAAGCUAGAGGAAUAUCUUAGAAAGCACCAUAGGGAAUUCAGGCAUAUUUACUGCCGUCCCGUGGAAAAGAUUGUUCACCCAAUUCAUGACCAAGCUUUCUACUUGACUGAGUAUCAUAAGAAGAAGCUGAAGGAAGAGUUUGGAGUUGAACCCUGGACGUUUGUUCAAAAACUCGGUGAUGCAGUUUUUGUGCCGGCAGGGUGUCCUCAUCAAGUUAGGAAUCUUAAGUCUUGCAUUAAGGUUGCUCUCGACUUUGUUUCUCCUGAAAAUAUUUCUGAGUGUAUUCGCUUGUCUGAGGAAUUUCGGACUCUUCCACAAAAACAUCAGGCCAAGGAGGACAAGUUAGAGGUUAAAAAGAUGGCUCUCCACGCACUUGACAAUGCUAUAAGCCUUUUUGAGCAGACAAAGAGCAGAUAUUUAGAGGUUAUCAAACCAGAAGUUACAUAACACUAAAUCUAUAUUUGGCUGCAACAUCCAUGCGACAUCCAAGCUUAUCAAUCAUUGAAAGAUGUAUAUGAUUCCGGACUUUUGUUCUUCGGAUAAUCUGCUACGGCCUCAAAAUCCAGAGUCGUUCAGGUGACCUGGUCCGACGACUUGUGUCAAGCCACUGCUCAGCCUGUGACUUAUCAUGUAUCUAGAGAUAGAGAAACUUGCCGUGCACCUAAGAGCUGUAAAGGUGUCCGUGAAAGGGUAUAUGCACCCAUGGUACGCGGGGUAUACUUAUGAAUGGAAAAAAGGGAAAAAUGAAAGGAGAGGGGGGAAGCCGAGCUGGCUGUCUUCGCAUUUUUUGCAGUUGAAGAUUUCUACGUGUUUGGGAUAAUAUCAGUAUCAGAAACCUUCCUUGAGGUUUCUUCUAAUAUCACUUAGCAUCUUGAGGUUUUAAAAAUAUUACUUGCAUCCCUUGUGAAUUGUGAAAAGAUUAUAUUAAUCCUCACUUGGUAUAUAAUUCACAUAUCAA